CGCUCUACUGCAACCGGGCCCGCUGCAAGGAGCGCGUGCUCACGGCGGUGUCCGGCGCGCUGGGAUACGCGCACGCGCGGCCCAUCCGGCUCUCGGGCCGUCGCCUUUCCACCAUGCGACUCAUGUUCACGGCCAGCACCAGCCGCAAGUUCUACGACUGCAGCAUUCCCGGCGAUGAGUACCCGCUGCCCAUCUGAUGCUGGGAGGACCCGCCUGCAGAGCGCGCCAGCCUGCUGGCGCUGGUGGUCCCUCCAGCCCAGCUUGAUCCGCCCAAUGUUGAGGGUGCGGAUCCUCUGCGCUCGGUCGUCACUCUGGAGUGACGGGCGGGCGCGGUCGUGCCGGUGUCGGCUGAUGUCAGCGUGUUGUGUAAAUAAAUGUGUUCCUUCUGUG